UGAACAUAUUCAAGGAUA
rnacentral:snRNA from 1 species